CCCGGGCCUUGUACACACCGCCCGUCACACCACGAAAGUUGGUAACACCCGAAGCCAGUGGCCCAACCGCAAGGGAGGGAGCUGUCGAAGGUGGGACCAGCGAUUGGGGUG
rnacentral:rRNA from 1 species